UCCGUAGGUGAACCUGCGGAAGGAUCAUUAAUAAUGGCUCUGAUAUAAGACACUUAAUAAUCCUACCUUUGUGAAUUGUUGUUUGAAAUAAUUUUUUUAAAUUAUUGAUUGUCUUUCCCUGUUGAAUUGGUUGUCUUUGGACGGUUGAUUCGCAGGGAUAGUCAGUAAUUUUAAAAGACCUUUUUAAAGUUAAACUUUUGUGUAUUCAUUUGUCUAAAUUAUUUUAUAUAUAAAACAACUUUUGACAAUGGAUCUCUUGGUUCUCGCAACGAUGAAGAACGCAGCAAAAUGCGAUAAGUAGUGUGAAUUGCAGAUACGUGAUCAUCGAAUCUUCGAACGCAUAUGCACUUUUUAGUUUACUAAAAAGUAUGUCUGUUUGAGUAUCAGUAAAUAUUCUCAUAAAACUUUUUGUUUUUUGGUUAUGAUGUUUUACAACGAUACAAGUUGUUCACUUUAAAUUUUUAAAUUGAAUUUUUUCUAAUUUUAAAUAAAUUGGAUAAAAUUUUCCCGUAAAAGGAAUAACCUAAACAUUUACUUAUUUAGAAGAAUUCAACCAAGGUAAAUUUAACAAAAUAACUUGAUCUCAAAUCAGAUAAGAGUACCGCUGAACUUAAGCAUAUCAAUAAGCGGAGGAAAAGAAACUAACAAGGAUUCCUUAGUAACGGCGAGUGAAGCGGGAAGAGCUCAAAUUUGAAAUCUUCAAGGUUUACCUUGACGAAUUGUAGUUAAAGAAGUGUUUCUGUUGAGUUUGGUAAAGUUCUUUGAAUAGACAUCAUAGAGGUGAGAAUCCCGUAUUUGACCAUUAUUUCAGCUGUGUGAUACACUUUCAAGAGUCGGAUUGUUUGGAAUGCAGUCAAAUGGGUGGUAAAUUUCAUCUAAAGCUAAAUAUUGGCGAGAGACCGAUAGCGAACAAGUACCGUGAGGAAAGAUGAAAGAACUUUGAAAAGAGAGUUAAACAGUACGUGAAAUUGUCAAAAGGGAAGCGUUUGACACCAGUGUUGUUUCUCGAAAUCAAUUAAAAAUGGCUGGAUUCUGUGUUGUAUUGACUUAACAGCUUCUUCACUUUUUCCUGUCUUUUUAAUGCACUUUUCGUUUAACAAGUCAACAUCAGUUUCUUUUGUUGUAAAAGGUCAUUGGAAGUGGCUUUCUUUCGGAGAAGUGUUAUAGCCUUUGAUCUCUGCAAUCGGAGAGACUGAGGUCUGCAGCGUAGACUCUUCGGGUUAGAUACAUUUGUGCUAAGUUAUAGCUUUCAUAGACAACUUGUUGACUAUGUUUAGUCUUGUAGCUUACUCGCUUAUGCUAUUU
rnacentral:misc_RNA from 1 species